rnacentral:lncRNA from 1 species
AGCCAGCUUUUGCUGAGUGCUUUGGAAAUGAAAAAUGGCUACAGAAACUAGCCUGUUUUGCAGACGGUUUUCAUCACAUGAACACAUGGACAAGUCUCUGAAAGGUUCAGGAGAAAAUUUUUUUUCUUAAAGUGACAAGAGUCUUAGAUCUAAAAGGAAACUGACUUGCCACCUUGCCAGAAGAAUCCUUGAAAUGUUUCUGCAGCCACUUGGACUUGAAAAUGAAGGGUACAACUCUCAAAUCUUCUCUAACCCAACUGGAGGAACCACAAGACCCAAUGAAAUAGCAUUUUCUCUCCUUUUCCCAGCACUAGUAUAUAACUGUAUGAGGAACCCUUGUCUAUGAAUCUGCUCAGCUUGAAAUUUUGUCUCUGAAGGAAGAGAAUGAACUCAGCCCUAGUCUGACAGUCCUGAAUUUCUGUGAAAUAAGAGUAUUCUUCAAGUUAAUGCUCACAUUCACAUACCAUGAGGGUUCUCUGCAGGGGUUUCCUGAAUCUGAAAGUUUUUUCAAGGCCUAUUUUUGGGUAAAACAGUUGAAAAGGCAGACACCAACAAAGUCUGCAAAUUAAACUGUCCAGAUUAAGAAUAUUAAGAAGCUGUAAAGUUAGCUUGUAGAAAUGGGCAUAUCCUUAAGUUUUAAAGUUAGGAAUUGCUAAAAAUGUUAGGGUUCCUGCACAAGUGGCUAUGUUUAUUUAAUGGCUAGUGAACAUGGGAAUAUAUUUUUAUCCUAGCUAGUGGUUCUAUUUGGCAAACUAGACUAGAAUGAUUUGAGAGGGAUAAAGAGAAUAGGCAGGACCUUCCUUCUGUAGCUUUACAUAUUUCAAAUGUUAAUUCUUAAUGACAUUGAAGUUACUUUGAAAUGAUUGAUAAGAGGAUUAUUAAUAUCAUUUAGGGGAAUAGGGAGGAUAGGAUUUUGGUGCCUUCAGCAGACUUGCUCCAAGACAAAGAUUCUAUUUUGAUAGUGCAAGACAAAAGGACUUGGAAAAAAACUGGCCAUAUGCCUACAGAACAUACAACUCUGUGGAACUAAAUUGUUUUUACUUUGUGAAAGCUGCUACUUUACGGAAAGACUUUGAUUUUAUAGUUUUGUUUUUAAUUGCCUUUUAUAUUUAUUUGUAUUUGGUAAGACUCAGUUGUUAUACAAACUAUUCUUUCCCAGUUACAAAAUCCUGUGUUCGGUUGUAACCUGAACUCAUUAAAAUAGUUGUUUUCAGGUUUAUCAACUGUUUAUUUUCACUGACAUUUGAGCAUGUUAUUUUAUAAAUGACGAGAUUCCAGAGUAGGAAGUAAGUGCUUUUUAUUCCCCUUUUGUUUUUUCUUUUAAAAAAUUACGUCAGUUAAAAAAAAAAAUAAAACUACAGUCUUGUCGUUUAGAAAAUGUUUAGUUCCAUAGAGAAAAGAAUGUUAAAGUUUGUAUUUUAAAACAUGAUUCUCUAAGGUUAAACAUGGUUUUCAAAUGUUAUUUUUACUGGUAUUUUGCUUUUGGUACAGCCAAAUAUCAAGCUUGUUUUUCAUAGUUCUGAUAUUUUCAGAAAAAUCAAAAUAAAUUUGUUCCCUAAAAUUG